rnacentral:rRNA from 1 species
UGAACGCUGGCGGCAGGCUUAACACAUGUCAAGUCCGAGGCGGGGGAGGUUGCUUCGGUAACUGACCUAGCGGCGGACGGGUGAGUAAUGCUUAGGAAUCUGCCUAUUAGUGGGGGACAACAUUCCGAAAGGAAUGCUAAUACCGCAUACGCCCUACGGGGGAAAGCAGGGGAUCUUCGGACCUUGCGCUAAUAGAUGAGCCUAAGUCGGAUUAGCUAGUUGGUGGGGUAAAGGCCUACCAAGGCGACGAUCUGUAGCGGGUCUGAGAGGAUGAUCCGCCACACUGGGACUGAGACACGGCCCAGACUCCUACGGGAGGCAGCAGUGGGGAAUAUUGGACAAUGGGGGGAACCCUGAUCCAGCCAUGCCGCGUGUGUGAAGAAGGCCUUUUGGUUGUAAAGCACUUUAAGCGAGGAGGAGGCUACCGAGACUAAUACUCUUGGAUAGUGGACGUUACUCGCAGAAUAAGCACCGGCUAACUCUGUGCCAGCAGCCGCGGUAAUACAGAGGGUGCGAGCGUUAAUCGGAUUUACUGGGCGUAAAGCGUGCGUAGGCGGCUGAUUAAGUCGGAUGUGAAAUCCCUGAGCUUAACUUAGGAAUUGCAUUCGAUACUGGUCAGCUAGAGUAUGGGAGAGGAUGGUAGAAUUCCAGGUGUAGCGGUGAAAUGCGUAGAGAUCUGGAGGAAUACCGAUGGCGAAGGCAGCCAUCUGGCCUAAUACUGACGCUGAGGUACGAAAGCAUGGGGAGCAAACAGGAUUAGAUACCCUGGUAGUCCAUGCCGUAAACGAUGUCUACUAGCCGUUGGGGCCUUUGAGGCUUUAGUGGCGCAGCUAACGCGAUAAGUAGACCGCCUGGGGAGUACGGUCGCCAGACUAAAACUCAAAUGAAUUGACGGGGGCCCGCACAACCGGUGGAGCAUGUGGUUUAAUUCGAUGCAACGCGAAAACCCUUACCUGUUUU